rnacentral:rRNA from 1 species
CAUAUCAAUAAGCGGAGGAAAAGAAACCAACAGGGAUUGCCUUAGUAACGGCGAGUGAAGCGGCAAAAGCUCAAAUUUGAAAUCUGGCACCUUCGGUGUCCGAGUUGUAAUUUGAAGAAGGUAACUUUGGAGUUGGCUCUUGUCUAUGUUCCUUGGAACAGGACGUCACAGAGGGUGAGAAUCCCGUGCGAUGAGAUGCCCAAUUCUAUGUAAAGUGCUUUCGAAGAGUCGAGUUGUUUGGGAAU